rnacentral:rRNA from 1 species
AAUUCGAUUGUCGACAAUUUACUUGAUCUGGCUCAGAUUGAACGCUGGCGGCAGGCCUAACACAUGCAAGUCGAGCGCAUGAUGGGAGCUUGCUCCCGGAUUCAGCGGCGGACGGGUGAGUAAUGCCUAGGAAUCUGCCUGGUAGUGGGGGACAACGUUUCGAAAGGAACGCUAAUACCGCAUACGUCCUACGGGAGAAAGCAGGGGACCUUCGGGCCUUGCGCUAUCAGAUGAGCCUAGGUCGGAUUAGCUAGUUGGUGGGGUAAAGGCCUACCAAGGCGACGAUCCGUAACUGGUCUGAGAGGAUGAUCAGUCACACUGGAACUGAGACACGGUCCAGACUCCUACGGGAGGCAGCAGUGGGGAAUAUUGGACAAUGGGCGAAAGCCUGAUCCAGCCAUGCCGCGUGUGUGAAGAAGGUCUUCGGAUUGUAAAGCACUUUAAGUUGGGAGGAAGGGCAGUAAGUUAAUACCUUGCUGUUUUGACGUUACCAACAGAAUAAGCACCGGCUAACUUCGUGCCAGCAGCCGCGGUAAUACGAAGGGUGCAAGCGUUAAUCGGAAUUACUGGGCGUAAAGCGCGCGUAGGUGGUUUGGU